CCCAUUGGCAUAAACCCGUAGAUCCGAUCUUGUGGUGAAGUGGACCGCACAAGCUCGCUUCUAUGGGUCUGUGUCAGUGUG
ensembl:miRNA